rnacentral:rRNA from 1 species
CCUGACUGACCGAUAGUGAACCAGUACCGUGAGGGAAAGGCGAAAAGAACCCCGGCGAGGGGAGUGAAAAAGAACCUGAAACCGUGUACGUACAAGCAGUGGGAGCCUCUUUAUGGGGUGACUGCGUACCUUUUGUAUAAUGGGUCAGCGACUUAUAUUCUGUAGCAAGGUUAACCGAAUAGGGGAGCCGAAGGGAAACCGAGUCUUAACUGGGCGUUAAGUUGCAGGGUAUAGACCCGAAACCCGGUGAUCUAGCCAUGGGCAGGUUGAAGGUUGGGUAACACUAACUGGAGGACCGAACCGACUAAUGUUGAAAAAUUAGCGGAUGACUUGUGGCUGGGGGUGAAAGGCCAAUCAAACCGGGAGAUAGCUGGUUCUCCCCGAAAGCUAUUUAGGUAGCGCCUCGUGAAUUCAUCUCCGGGGGUAGAGCACUGUUUCGGCAAGGGGGUCAUCCCGACUUACCAACCCGAUGCAAACUGCGAAUACCGGAGAAUGUUAUCACGGGAGACACACGGCGGGUGCUAACGUCCGUCGUGAAGAGGGAAACAACCCAGACCGCCAGCUAAGGUCCCAAAGUCAUGGUUAAGUGGGAAACGAUGUGGGAAGGCCCAGACAGCCAGGAUGUUGGCUUAGAAGCAGCCAUCAUUUAAAGAAAGCGUAAUAGCUCACUGGUCGAGUCGGCCUGCGCGGAAGAUGUAACGGGGCUAAACCAUGCACCGAAGCUGCGGCAGCGAC